UCAAGCUCACGGCCUCACCUCACCCACCCGCCCGCCUCGCCUCCAUCCACAGCGCCACAGCGGCCACGCCAUCUCCGUCUCUCUGCUCACCUCCACUUCUUCCGUUCUUCUUCACCGUCUCCGUCCUUGACACGGGCGCACCCGUCCCCCUCCGACUUCCCCGUGGCCUCGUCCCGAUCCGUAGUCAACUCGACCUUGUUCAAGAGGGUGAGCCCGAACCACGGCGCGCGGGAGGGCUCUUUUUAUUUUGACCCACCGGAGGACAGCCGCCCCAUGGGCUGGUCGCCUGAGCGCGCUAUGUAUCAGCUCAUCGACCGGCGGAAAGGGCUUGGGUAAAUAAUUGACACAUCUCCCUUGUAAUUGCAUGUGAUUUUUGUUAAGAUGAGUUCACAAAAUAAAGUUUUUUCAAAUACUGGAGAUGCAUGUUCAGUGUUACCUAGUAAAGUCACGUCAUUAAAUCCCAAUGCAGCGGAGUUUGUACCUUCAUCUGUUAAACCAUCUCUUGGAAGCAGUACAGUUCCAGAUGUAACUAAGUUAGAUUUUAGGGGUUCUUCUGGAAAAACAAUCCUAGAUAGGUCUGAAUCAUCAAAGUCUAAUAACUCAGAUGAUGAGGCACACCAGUUUUGGCGUAAGCAGCUUCCUGAUGACAUUAUUCCAGACUUCACUUCUUUUGAGAAAGUUGAACAAGGGCCUGAAUAAUUGUCCCUUGCUGGAUUAUCUUUGAAUGCACCUCCCUUUUUAUGGGACAACAUCCAGUCGCUUCUCAAGAGAGUAUCACGAAUUAUCUUCUCCAGCUACUAAGGGCCUAGAAGUGGAACACACUAAUCUGCUGUAUGAAGAUAAUUAUCUGGGUUCAAGCAACUGGGAGCAGAAUUAUAUUGGUGAUCUUCAUAUUGCUAAUGGAAACCAGGGCCUUCAUUAUGAUUCUGAAACUGGUGUAAGCUUUUCUGAUAGUUUUGCUAGUGAGUAUGCUGCCUCAUCAGAUGGCCUUGUUGCUCCCCUGGAGUACUUAGCAUCUCAGUUCCCUGGAUUUUCAGCAGAGAGCCUUGCAGAGUUGUACUACGCAAAUGAGUGUGAUUUCAACCAUACUAUUGAAAUACUAACCCAGCUAGAGAUGCAAGUUGAUGCUACACCCAAUCACACAUUGAAUCUGGCCCAGAGCACACCGAACUUUAGCACUGGGGAUUUCCCUGCACUUCCAACAGUCGAGGACCAAAAUGGUUUCAAUAAGGGUAAUGUGGAUGUACUUGGCAUGUUCAAUGCGCGCGGCUCAUCUGAAAUGCCUAUCUGAAAUGCCUACUGGAGCUGGUGAUUUUUGUUUCAGCUGUUUGCAAAUUUGCGUCACAGAAUUCUGGCCCGUGGAAGUUUAAAAAAGGUCCUGAAUAUGGUAAUGGUGUUUCAGCUCUUUCUGUACCCAAACAGUACAGUUCUGGCACUAAACAAUCAUCUAGGAACAAGUUUCAAAGCAUCAGCAGUGCAAGAGUUGCCCCAUGGCUUCAGACCGGAGAUGCAGUGGCAAGUAUGUACUCAGAAUCAAGGGGAGAAGCCCGUGAUUUUGCUAGGGUUCGAAAUGCGUGUUUUGAGCAGGUAAGCACUAUCACAUAUGGUUACUGAAGCCUACACUUGCAAUUUCUUUUGCUUGUUCGGGCUAGACAGGCUUACUUGGUUGGCAACAAGGCUGUUGCGAAGGAAUUGAGCAUGAAGGGGCAGACAUACAAUGUGCAAAUGAAAGCAGCUCAUGAGAAAGCUAGAGAAGCUAUUUACCGGCAAAGAUUGCAAUCUUGCCGACGGAGAGUACGUGCUCAUCCCCGAGCAAGGACCUGUCUAAGAGGAGGACCAGGAGCAGGCUUCAGAGGCUGCUAUUGAGGAUCUCCCCGCAGCUCCAGCAAUUGAAG